UACGGGGGGUGCAAGCGUUAUUCGGAAUUAUUGGGCGUAAAGAGCACGUAGGCGGUCUUUUAAGUCAGAUGUGAAAGCCCGGGGCUCAACCCUGGAAGUGCAUUUGAAACUAGAGGACUUGAGUAUGGGAGAGGGAAGUGGAAUUCCUGGUGUAGCGGUGAAAUGCGUAGAUAUCAGGAGGAACACCGGUGGCGAAGGCGACUUCCUGGACCAAUACUGACGCUGAGGUGCGAAGGCGUGGGGAGCAAACAGGAUUAGAUACCCUGGUAGUCCACGCAGUAAACGUUGAUCACUAGGUGUAGCGGGUAUUGACCCCUGCUGUGCCGCAGCUAACGCAUUAAGUGAUCCGCCUGGGGAGUACGAUCGCAAGGUUAAA
rnacentral:rRNA from 1 species